rnacentral:rRNA from 1 species
CCACCAGGCGUGAAGCUGCGGGCUUAAUUUGACUCAACACGGGAAAACUUACCAGGUCCAGACACGGGAAGGAUUGACAGAUUGAGAGCUCUUUCUUGAUUCUGUGGGUGGUGGUGCAUGNCCGUUCUUAGUUGGUGGGUUGCCUUGUCAGGUUGAUUCCGGUAACGAACGAGACCUCAGCCUGCUAAAUAGUCAGCUUCGCAUCUGCGGAGCGCCGACUUCUUAGAGGGACUAUUGGCGUUUAGCCAAUGGAAGUAUGAGGCGAUAACAGGUCUGUGAUGCCCUUAGAUGUUCUGGGCCGCACGCGCGCUACACUGACGCGAUCAACGAGCAUAUCCUUGACCGAGAGGUCCGGGUAAUCUUCGAAACCGCGUCGUGAUGGGGAUAGAUUAUUGCAAUUAUUAGUCUUCAACGAGGAAUGCCUAGUAAGCGCGAGUCAUCAGCUCGCGUUGAUUACGUCCCUGCCCUUUGUACACACCGCCCGUCGCUCCUACCGAUUGGGUGUGCUGGUGAAAUGCUCGGAUUGGUUUCAGGUGGGGCAACCUAGCUGAGACUGAGAAGUUCAUUAAACCCUCCCACCUAGAGGAAGGAGAAGUCGUAACAAGGUA